UAUGAUGUUAUUUAUGAUUGUCAUUGAUUAAGGUGGAUGAUUUUUUGAGGAUUCUUUUUUAAAUAUUUGAUAUGUAUAUAUGAGACUAUGAAGGUUAAGAAGCCAAGUUCAAAAGGAGGAUUUCUUCAGUUGUGUUGAUUGACAUAUCAAAUUUCGGUCCAAACUCUCCAGCCAUAUAUAUUUCGUGUCUCAUCUUUUAUUCAUUCAGAAAUACAACUAUAGAAGUCGCUUUACUACGUAUUCAUCAACAAAUACUGUUUGCUACAUUGAUAAUCAUCAAAUCUAUCAAUAAUGUAUAAUCGAGGGAGCCAACAACUUCAAAGACCAAGACUCUGGUGAAAUUCAAGCUCAACCCAGGAAAGUCCAGCAACAACUUUUAGAUGAUGGAACACAUGCUCUUUAGGUGGAGUUGUCAAGUCUUCUUAAUGAUGCUGGUGACACUGAAACCAAGAUGGUAGAAAUACAACAUUGAAUCAUCUCAUGGUGACACAUGUCUUGCAACAGGAUCAACAAAUCAAGUAUAUGUAUGACUAGUUUAUGAGAGGAAUGUGACAGUCAUCUCAGUUUUUAAAUAUUGGCCCGGAAUGUGACUGCAUCUCAGUUCUAAAUAUUGGCCCAGUUCUUAAAGAGGUAUGUCAAAGCUAGAAAAACCUUAAACAUGUGUGAAGGCUUAUCGUCGGAAAUACAAUCAUUCAACUUUUGUGUAAGAUGCUUGCUGGUUUUAUAACUCCCUGUCAAUUCUUUCCAUCCACCCCCUUUGCUUUUUAUUAAAACUAUGAACAUGAUACGUAUUAAAAUGAUUUAAAAGUUUUAUUCUUUUUAUGAUAUUAAUGGAAGCUAAUAUUCGAAGCAAUUAAAAGCACCUAAAUUUCAUUACUAUAUCUUUAUCUGUGCUAAAUCCGUUUUCCAGCAAAGUGAGGAGAUUGUCUAAACUUGCAACCUCCAUGUCAUGGUCACUUGACCUCGUGGGCAGGCUUGAUAUAUUUUUAUAAGAUCAAAUGUUGGACAGGCCUGAGUUUCAAGUAUCUUAAAUUCUUAUUUGUAAGGAUCAUGAUUGCUAUUUGGAGAACGCUUGAUGACUGCUUAAAGUGGGUCAAAAACAUCCACCUUUUCCGAUGGUCAUUAACUUGAAUCACUUGGGACAGAUUGUGAAACUCUUAGGGGUGUGAUGACUAAGAUUAUCUAAGAACACAAAUCUGCCAACGUCGAAAUCAGAGGCUUUCUCUACAGCUGCGGAUGGACAAACAAGUGUUGAAAUUAAUGUUCUUGGGCAGACAAAAGUUUGUUAAAGAUAAUAAGUCCCUUGGUAGCUUGCGUCUUGAUGGAAUCUCACCUGCCCCACAUGUAGUUCCACAAAUCGAGGUCAAGUUUGAGUCUUGAUUUGAUGCAUAAGGUAUCAUAUCUCUGCCAUUGACAAGGGACGGAAAGAAGCAAGAUAUAACCAUUACCGGUGUUUAUCGAAGUUUUGUCAUAAUUUGUGACCGUGCUUUUCUUUUCGGAAACCUUUUCAAUUUGUGGAAAAGAUUCACCGUUACUUUUGGGUGUUUUUUUUUAUCUUUAUGAUCAAUUGAAUGGAUGCAUUAUUAUUAUUAUUAUUGUUAUUAGUUUUAUGCCUUAAAGGAUGUGAAAUUUGUAAAGCCCUAAUCACAGCAUGAUUCUGAUGAUAUAUUUCUUGGCAAUGUGCUUGGCUGGUUCAGUUGACUUCAAUAUCAGUGUCAUUAGAUCGAACAUAGAGCUUUAAAGUUUAGGUGGCUGAAAUGCACCAUAUCAAGAUCAUAUAUUGGUCGACAUAAAUCAGAUAGAAAUAGCAAGCGAGAGGUUCGUAGCCCUUUCUGCACUUCUCCCUAACCUCAAAAAGGUGUAGUGCUUGCAAAGAUAAGGAUGAUUCAAAUAUAAAUUUUCUGUAAAGAACGAUCAUUGGGAAUACAAAGUGGGGAGAGUGUGUCUGAACUUGAAACCUCCAAGUCAUGAUGACCUGACAUUGGGGGAGGUGUAUGAAUUAGGCUAGGUGGUGACACACUUAUAAAUAUCACCAACCAUCCCCUUCAACGUUUCAGUAGAUGGUCUACAAAAGGCUCAAGAACCAUUAUUGAUUGAACUCUUCAUAUUCAUGUUCAACAACUUCUGUUACCGAAUAUCUUAAGGAGAUCGAAGAAACCUACUCUCAUCAAGGUUGAUAGGAACCGAUGGUUCAUUUACAAAUUGCAGGUAUUACAUCUUUGGAUAUGAAUCAGGUGGCAGGUGAUACUCAUUCAGGUCGUUUUUAUAUAAGGUGCAAAAAGAAAAAGAAUGGGUCGAUGGUCCUGAAAGUUUAAGUUAAAGAAUGGGUUGAGUUUGGGCUGUUUAUGUUUACUUUAGUUAUAAAUGUGUCGUAUUGUCUGAAUUUUAUAAGUAAAGCCAACAUGCUAUUAGGUUAAGACACACAUUGAUUGAUUUUGUUAUAGUGUAUCACGCAAGGGAGCUUUGCUGGGCUCAUAUACCAGCCAACUAUCUAUCUAUAAAUUGUUCAACCGAUUUAGGCUGGAUUUUGUCAUGAAUUCAGUUUCUUUACUUCUGUUCA